rnacentral:rRNA from 1 species
UACGUAGGGGGCAAGCGUUGUCCGGAUUUAUUGGGCGUAAAGAGCGUGUAGGCGGCCAGGUAGGUCUGCUGUGAAAACUCGAGGCUUAACCUCGAGCUGUCGGCGGAAACCAUCUGGCUAGAGUCCGGAAGAGGAGAAUGGAAUUCCCGGUGUAGCGGUGAAAUGCGUAGAUAUCUGGAGGAACACCGGUGGCGAAGGCGGCGUUCUGGACUGCAACUGACACUGAGGAACGAAAGCCAGGGGAGCAAACGGG